UCUGCAAGAAAGACAUGGGUAGUGAGAUAGUGGCUUUAGUACUGGUAGAUCUCACUACCUUGUCUUUCAUGUUGAU
rfam:Anopheles minimus strain MINIMTS1 unplaced genomic scaffold supercont1.12, whole genome shotgun sequence.